CAGUCGCCGCGGGAAUACGUAGGGUGCAAGCGUUAAUCGGAAUUACUGGGCGUAAAGCGUGCGCAGGCGGUUUUGUAAGACAGAGGUGAAAUCCCCGGGCUCAACCUGGGAACUGCCUUUGUGACUGCAAGGCUAGAGUACGGCAGAGGGGGAUGGAAUUCCGCGUGUAGCAGUGAAAUGCGUAGAUAUGCGGAGGAACACCGAUGGCGAAGGCAAUCCCCUGGGCCUGUACUGACGCUCAUGCACGAAAGCGUGGGGAGCAAACAGGAUUAGAGACCCCUGUAGUCCCUGUCUCUUAUAC
rnacentral:rRNA from 1 species